UCGAGGGGUAUAGUAGCAAUACUAGAGACCGGCGCACGGGUGCGUAACGCGUAUGCAAUCUACCUUUCACAGAGGGAUAGCCCAGAGAAAUUUGGAUUAAUACCUCAUAGUAUAAUGAGUUGGCAUCAACCCAUUAUUAAAGUCACAACGGUGAAAGAUGAGCAUGCGUCCCAUUAGCUAGUUGGUAAGGUAACGGCUUACCAAGGCUACGAUGGGUAGGGGUCCUGAGAGGGAGAUCCCCCACACUGGUACUGAGACACGGACCAGACUCCUACGGGAGGCAGCAGUGAGGAAUAUUGGUCAAUGGGCG
rnacentral:rRNA from 1 species